UGAGUUGGCCAGGCGGCCGCGUUGCGGGGAGACCCGUGCCGAGGAACGUCCGGGCUCCGUAGAGCAGGGUGAUGGUUAAUAGCCACCCGGGGUGACCCGCGGGAAAGUGCCACAGAAAAUAACCGCCUCCGGCCUCGGCCGGCGGUAAGGGUGAAAAGGUGAGGUAAGAGCUCACCGCGUCGCUGGUGACAGCGACGGUCACGGUAAACCCCACCCGGAGCAAGACCAGACAGGAUGCGUUUGAGGGCUGCUCGCCCGAGUAUCUGGGUAGGUUGCUAGAGGCGUGCGGCAACGUACGUCGUAGAUGGAUGGCCGCCCGUCUUCUUCGGAAGACGACAGAACCCGGCGUAUCGGCCAACUCAUCCG
rnacentral:RNase_P_RNA from 1 species